UGUUAAACACACACACUGACACACACAGGCAAAAGGCCCAUCAAUAAUUAGGGUUAAUAUGAUCUCACUUGAACCUGAGAGGGGAUGUGUUAGUCUGCUCUUCACAGCUCUUGCAAGUGUGUGACAAAGAGAGAGAGAGGGUGUGUGUGUGUCAUGUGUCAUGAAGCUGCUCUGUGAUGGUCAACCUCUAAACGCUCCAGUAACGCACUUUGGCGGCUGCAGCGGGUGUAGAUGGCAUCUCCAUUUGCUGAGCUGGAGGUGUUGAUGAUCAUGUUCUCUCUCCUGGUGUUCGCCCUCUUCACACUCACGGGGAUGCUCAACGAGGCAUGUGCACGCUCAAAUGAGACAAACUCACAACCACAGAGUGAGGAGCUGAUCGUCUGACGAGGUUCAUGACUGAGAAUGAAAAACUUCAGAAAGCAACAGCUGUCUCGUUCUUCCUGUUCAGUGGCUUAUGAUGACGUGUCAGUCUUGUGUGUGUGUGUUUUAUCAGUUACCAGAGCAAAGUCUAAUUGUUUACCACUUAAUGUGUGUGCACAUUGUUGUAGGAUCCAGUAUUACUGGCUUCCAGCAGGAUGCAGCACCAAGGAGUGGCCUAAAUGUUACACUGCAAUACAUAGAUCAAUAAAGAACGCCUGCUUCAACAAACUGUUCAAAGACAGUAUCUCAAGCCUGCUUUCUUUCCUCUUUAAGAGUAUGUAUGUGAAGCUACACAGCAGUACUUUUAUUUUGAUCUU